UACGAAGGGGGCUAGCGUUGCUCGGAUUGACUGGGCGUAAAGGGCGCGUAGGCGGUUCGUACAGUCAGACGUGAAAUUCCUGGGCUCAACCUGGGGGCUGCGUUUGAUACGUGCGGACUUGAGUGCGGAAGAGGGUCGUGGAAUUCCCAGUGUAGAGGUGAAAUUCGUAGAUAUUGGGAAGAACACCGGUGGCGAAGGCGGCGACCUGGUCCUUUACUGACGCUGAGGCGCGAAAGCGUGGGGAGCAAACAGG
rnacentral:rRNA from 1 species